CUUGUGAGCUUAUGUAAGAGAUGGUAAGAGUCUGCACCAAAGGAACAGCAAGACAGAAUGAAACUGGCUCCCGGAACCGAGAGCUUGUCAGGCCCUACGAGAAUGCACUUGAACCGUGCAGGGCAGGCUCUGAGAGGUCACUCUCUGAUGGGGUCCCAGGCACAGAGAUUCUGUGCUGGUUGCUGGAAGCUGACAGCCUCUAACCGGAGGGCACCCACGAGGACGAGCAAGAGGAGAGCCCCCACCCCCCACCCCCCAUGCCCUCUGUCCCGGGAAGGAAGUGAGUCCUGCAGAGUGAAUGCAGCCACACAGGAGGAGGAACCGGAGGCUGAGUUAGAAGACAUCAAUCAAUGCCAUUACCAUCCGGAAGACCUAAUGAAGUUCAGCUAAGAACUGACUCUUGGGUAGACAAAGUGUGUCUGACUACUUAGAAAAAACAAAAACAGAAAAACAAAAUCUAAACAGCAAAGUGAUUACACUGCUGUUGAUUUUUUUGGUCUCGUUUUGAACUUUGUUUUUUUUUUAAUGGAAAAUAAAUAUUUUAACUUUGAGAACAAAGAUUUCAUAUAGUUUUCCUGAGAGUUUCAGGAGCAGCUGUCAGUUAAAUAAACAAGGUUGCUGUUGCUAUAGUCUGACGUCGCCACGGUGGCUUGCCUUCUCAUUGACUGCCUUGAACAGUGGUUCUCAACCUUGGCUUCACAU